AGGGAAUCUUCCGCAAUGGACGAAAGUCUGACGGAGCAACGCCGCGUGAGUGAAGAAGGCCUUCGGGUCGUAAAACUCUGUUGCCGGGGAAGAACAAGUGCCGUUCGAACAGGGCGGCGCCUUGACGGUACCCGGCCAGAAAGCCACGGCUAACUACGUGCCAGCAGCCGCGGUAAUACGUAGGUGGCAAGCGUUGUCCGGAAUUAUUGGGCGUAAAGCGCGCGCAGGCGGUUUCUUAAGUCUGAUGUGAAAUCUUGCGGCUCAACCGCAAGCGGUCAUUGGAAACUGGGAGGCUUGAGUGCAGAAGAGGAGGGUGGAAUUCCACGUGUAGCGGUGAAAUGUGUAGAGAUGUGGAGGAACACCAGUGGCGAAGGCGACUCUCUGGGCUGUAACUGACGCUGAGGCGCGAAAGCGUGGGGAGCAAAC
rnacentral:rRNA from 1 species